rnacentral:rRNA from 1 species
UGGCCAGACUCCUACGGGAGGCAGCAGUGGGGGAUAUUGCACAAUGGGGGAAACCCUGAUGCAGCGACGCCGCGUGAGUGAAGAAGUAACUCGUUAUGUAAAGCUCUAUCAGCAGGGAAGAAAAUGACGGUACCUGAGUAAGAAGCCCCGGCUAACUACGUGCCAGCAGCCGCGGUAAUACGUAGGGGGCAAGCGUUAUCCGGAUUCACUGGGUGUAAAGGGAGCGUAGACGGCGACGCAAGUCUGGAGUGAAAGCCCGGGGCCCAACCCCGGGACUGCUCUGGAAACUGCGUCGCUGGAGUACGGGAGGGGCAGGCGGAAUUCCUGGUGUAGCGGUGAAAUGCGUAGAUAUCAGGAGGAACACCGGCGGCGAAGGCGGCCUGCUGGACUGCAACUGACGUUGAGGCCCGAAAGCGUGGGGAGCAAACAGGAUUAGAUACCCGAGUA